rnacentral:tRNA from 1 species
GGGCCUGUAGCUCAGUUGGUUAGAGCACUGUGCUGAUAACGCAGGGGGCAGUGGUUCGAAUCCACUCAGGCCCACCU